AUAAUGAUACUUCCGUCCAGUCACAGACACAAGCAAUGAGGGCGGCUCUAUGAGAACCAUAGAGGGAUGAGAAUUCCAUGA
ncrna:unclassified sequences pemK RNA